UUUUUCAGGCCAGGUUGCCCUCACUGAUCUAGUCUGGUCUUGGAAGCUAGAUGGAGUUGGCUUGGUCCGUCCUUGGAGNGGAGACCACCUGGGAAUACAAAGUCCUGUAGGCC
rnacentral:rRNA from 1 species